CCCCACAACAUGAAAUUGAGCCAAAGGUGGAGGAGAAGGGAGAGGCACUGAAUAGCCACGUUUAGGCACUAAACUCUGUCCCGCCAGGUAGAAGCAAUAAGAAACUACAAAAGGAACAAGUGGCAUACCAGACAAGAAAAGAGAUGACAGCUCAAUGUGCCCUCUUGCUCCUGAUGACCUUCCUGUGAGACAAGAUGUGGAGGUCAAAGACAGCCAUACUGAUGACCCUGAC